rnacentral:rRNA from 1 species
UCGGCCUACGGGGGGCAGCAGUGGGGAAUAUUGCACAAUGGGCGAAAGCCUGAUGCAGCAACGCCGCGUGAAGGAAGAAGGGUUUCGGCUCGUAAACUUCUAUCAACAGGGACGAAAGAAAUGACGGUACCUGAAUAAGAAGCCCCGGCUAACUACGUGCCAGCAGCCGCCGUAAUACGUAGGGGGCAAGCGUUAUCCGGAAUUACUGGGUGUAAAGGGUGAGUAGACGGAAGAACAAGUUGGCUGUGAAAUCCCUCGGCUCAACUGAGGAACUGCAACCAAAACUAUUCUCCUUGAGUGUCGGA